AUUGAACGCUGGCGGAAUGCUUAACACAUGCAAGUCGCACGGGGGCUUCGGCUCGAGUGGCGGACGGGUGAGUAACGCGUAGGAACGUGUCUUGGGGUGGGGGAUAACGCUGGGAAACUGGCGCUAAUACCGCAUAGGGGCUGCGGCCCAAAGCCUGCGAGGGUGCCUUGAGAGCGGCCUGCGUCCGAUUAGCUAGUUGGUGGGGUAAUGGCCUACCAAGGCGACGAUCCGUAGCNGGUCUGAGAGGAUGACCAGCCACACUGGGACUGAGACACGGCCCAGACUCCUACGGGAGGCAGCAGUGGGGAAUAUUGGACAAUGGGCGCAAGCCUGAUCCAGCCAUGCCGCGUGGGUGAAGAAGGCCUUAGGGUUGUAAACCCCUUUCAGCGGGGAAGAUAAUGACGGUACCCGCAGAAGAA
rnacentral:rRNA from 1 species